rnacentral:rRNA from 1 species
CUACGGGGGGCAGCAGUGGGGAAUAUUGGACAAUGGGGGGAACCCUGAUCCAGCCAUGCCGCGUGUGUGAAGAAGGCCUUUUGGUUGUAAAGCACUUUAAGCAGUGAAGAAGACUCUUCGGUUAAUACCCGGGGACGAUGACAUUAGCUGCAGAAUAAGCACCGGCUAACUCUGUGCCAGCAGCCGCGGUAAUACAGAGGGUGCAAGCGUUAAUCGGAAUUACUGGGCGUAAAGCGAGCGUAGGUGGCUUGAUAAGUGAGAUGUGAAAUCCCCGGGCUUAACCUGGGAACUGCAUCUGAAACUGUUAGGCUAGAGUAAGUGAGAGGGAAGUAGAAUUUCAGGUGUAGCGGUGAAAUGCGUAGAGAUCUGAAGGAAUACCGAUGGCGAAGGCAGCUUCCUGGCAUCAUACUGACACUGAGGCUCGAAAGCGUGGGUAGCAAACAGGAUUAGAUACCCCAGUAGUC